CCUCAGCCUGCCGGGUUGCUGAGAUUACAGCAGCACACCACACCACAGCCUGGAUGUGGGAAAGACCCAAGCUCCUGUAAGCGGGUCAAACUGGUCAGUGGGAAACGCCCUAAAGCCAUGUGCCAAGGAGGUGGGCUUCCAGCAAGACCGUGCCUGCUGCACAGGGUCCAGGCUGCGGAAGUCAGUGCUGCCACGCGGCCAGCCAAGAGUGACCCACCUCCACAGCGCACUGCAGAUGCUACCAGGCAGGCCGGCCGACAAAAGCAAGGAGUAAACAAAAAACAAAACACACUCAGUAGAUUUCUUUAGCUCCCAGAGUUUCUGGACCAACAAGUCCCAACCCCCAAGCCAGGAUCGAGGGGACCUAAAAACACCCCCCCUCCCACCAGUGCCGACCGAACCCUGUUUUUAAAUUAAAAAAUAAGCCAGUAUACAUCGUAGAAAAUUUUCUCUUAAAAAUCUCACAAUUUGUAAAUGUAUAUUUUUUCUUUAACAUAAAAGUUUACAAUAUACGGUAAAACAAAAGGCUCAGGAAAAUAAUUUCGGAAAAAAAAAAAAAAAA